GGGCAGGCUAGACCGGGUGGUUAGCCCUCACCUGUAACUGCAAACGGGCUUUAUGGCAGGGUCGAAGCUGAACUGAGGUUUGAUUCCUGUUUUGGGGUCCCUGUUCGGACGAUGAGACCCUGUCCUGCAGGGUGGUUCUAUAAAGGAACCGAGUCAGGUCAGGGAUGAAGCAGCUCUAACUUUUUAGAACCACGCUUGUGGGGUUGCGGGGUUGAGAAAGUUCAGGGGGUGCCUCACUACAGGUGUCAAGCCGAUGUGAGGCGUGCCUGCCC
rnacentral:SRP_RNA from 1 species